rnacentral:rRNA from 1 species
GACGAACGCUGGCGGCGUGCUUAACACAUGCAAGUCGAACGGAAAGGUCCUGCUUUUGUGGGCUGCACGAGUGGCGAACGGGUGAGUAACACGUGAGUAACCUGCCCUUGCCUUUGGGAUAUCUUCAGAAAACUGGGGGUAAUAACGGAUAGGAGCUCAUGCUGUUUGGUGGGGGUUGGAAAGUUUCGGAGGUUGGGGAUGGACUCGCGGAUUAUCAGCUCGUUGGUGGGGUAGUGUCUUACCAAGGUUGUGCCGUGUAGCCGGCCUGAGAGGGGGACCGGCCACAGUGAGUCUGAGAUACAGCCGAGACGCAUACGGGAGGCAGGAGUGGGGAAUAAUGCACAAAGGACGGAAGACUGAUGCAGCAACGCCGCGUGCGGGAGUACGGCCUUCGAGUGGUAAGCCUCUGUCGCUUGAGAGGAAACGUGAGUAACGUUAAUGGGGAAAGAGGCACCGGCAAACUAGUG